UCCUUCUUUUUCCCUCUUUCUCCUUCUUCCCUUUUUUUCCCUUUUUCUUCUUUUUUUCUUUAAUUCCUUUUUUAAAUCUCCAAGCUUAACUUGGAAACUGCCGUGGAUACUAUAGAUCUUGAAUAUUGUGGAGGUAAGCGGAAUAUGUCAUGUAGCGGUGAAAUGCUUAGAUAUGACAUAGAACACCGAUAGCGAAGGCAGCUUGCUACACAAUCAUUGACACUGAGGCACGAAAGCGUGGGGAUCAAACAGG
rnacentral:rRNA from 1 species